rnacentral:rRNA from 1 species
AUUGAACGCUGGCGGCAGGCCUAACACAUGCAAGUCGAACGAGUGGCGGACGGGUGAGUAAUGUCUGGGAAACUGCCUGCUGGAGGGGGAUAACUACUGGAAACGGUAGCUAAUACCGAAUACCCUAGGAUGUGCGCAGAUGGGAUUAUCUAGUAGGUGGGGUAACGGCUCACCUAGGCGACGAUCCCUAGCUGGUCUGAGAGGAUGACACGCCACACUGGAACUGAGACACGGUCCAGACUCCUACGGGAGGCAGCAGUGGGGAAUAUUGCACAAUGGGCGCAAUCCUGAUGCAGCCAUGCCGCGUGUAUUAAGAAGGCCUUCGGGUUGUAAAGUACUUUCAGCGGGGAGGCGUUACCCGCAGAAGAAGCACCGGCUAACUCCGUGCCAGCAGCCGCGGUAAUUC